UACAGAGGGUGCAAGCGUUGUUCGGAAUUAUUGGGCGUAAAGGGCGCGUAGGCGGUUCGGCAAGUCUCUAGUGAAAUCUCUGGGCUCAACUCAGAGUCUGCUGGGGAAACUGCCGGGCUUGAGUGUGGGAGAGGAGAGUGGAAUUCCCGGUGUAGCGGUGAAAUGCGUAGAUAUCGGGGAGGAACACCUGUGGCGAAAGCGGCUCUCUGGACCACAACUGACGCUGAGGCGGCGAAAAGCUGAGGGGAGCAAACAGGG
rnacentral:rRNA from 1 species